rnacentral:lncRNA from 1 species
AGACUGAGAUUCCCUCUACUGAUGGACAUUGCAUAGCUCCAGUUGGAGAGGGUUCUCCCUCCAUAUCUCAGCCUGUCAAAAAACGAUCCUUGAUUGUCAGGGUCUUUUCAGCAAUGAUGAAGCCAUUCAGGCGCUUCACCAAGAAGAACCUGUAACCUGUUACGCUGCAUGAAGAACUACUUUUGUAACAGCAAGACUUUUGACAAGAGGAAUUUCUGCAUGUCUAACCUUUCA